AUGACGACGGCCCACUCCGGCGCGGCGGGCGCGUCGCCGUCCUUCUACGCGCCGCCCUCCCGCCGCCUCCACUUCUUCGUGCGCGCCACCGAUUCCAAGACCAUCCCGAUGCACGCGGCCGCGGACGACACCGCCGCCGCCGUGCCCGCCCACCUCGCCGACCGCGGCUACGGCCGCGACCUGCGCCUCCUCCACGCGGGGCGCCAGCUCGAGCCGGAGGCCACCGUGGCCUCGCUCGGCCUCCCGCCCGACUCCACCCUCCAGCUCGCGGCGCGCCUCCGCUCCACCCCGCACCCCAAGGCCUGGCAGCUCGCCUCGCACAUCGCCGCCAACGCCGCCUCCGGGUCCGCCGGCACCGCCAACACCCUGGAAGACCUCGUCAAGGAGUACAUCGUCUGGUGCGACCUCGGCAGCGAGCAGAACCGGAGCGAUCGCAGGGCCAAGGGCGCCGAGGAGCACCUCGACAUCUUCCUCCAGUCGGGCGCCGCCAUCGCGCUGGUUCACCUCUACCUCUCGGAUUUCUCCUCCUCUCGCUUCUACGCCGAGCGCGCCAUCAGGUGCUUUCUCAGCACCGACCCUGCGACCUUACCGCCCAAUGUAAGGCUCGUCACGGCGCCGGUGCUGCUGGAAUUCUGCCGUUUGCUUUCUCUGACCGCGGGCAAUAAGGAUUCCCUCUACAAGUCAUGCCGUCAUACACUUGCAUCGGUACUCUGCUUGCCACUCUCAGGGCUCGUUGCCUCCAAUUCUCCUACCAAGGUGAUCGAGCAGGUCCUCCCGUUUGCCAGAGAAAUAGUUGAACUGGUUCUGGAUGGACUUGGAUCAGAGUCCAAGUCCAUGAUGGUGUCAAGGACAGACCUUGACGAGCUCUCAAACUUCUUUGAAGUCUUGCGCCAGCAGGUGCUCCUUUGGAUGUCAAAGAAUGUGUACAGCAGGGAGUGUAAGCGUACCAACACAUGGGUGUGGGAGUUGCACUGCACGAAAUGUCGACGAACCUGCUGA
rnacentral:rRNA from 1 species